rnacentral:rRNA from 1 species
UACGGAGGGUGCAAGCGUUGUCCGGAAUCACUGGGCGUAAAGGGCGCGUAGGCGGCUCAUGAAGGCUGUGGUGAAAGUCCGGGGCUCAACCUCGGAUCGGCCGUGGCGACUCGUGGGCUGGAGCACUGUAGAGGCGGGUGGAAUUCCGGGUGUGAGCGGUGGAAUGCGUAGAGAUCCGGAAGAACACCAGUGGCGAAGGCGGCCCGCUGGGCAGUGGCGUGACGCUGAGGCGCGACAGCGUGGGGAGCAAACAGG